rnacentral:SRP_RNA from 1 species
UGGUCUUCCUGCGGCGAUUAUUUGUAAAUUCCGUCAGGCCUGGAAGGGAGCAGCGGUAGCAAUGAAAUCGGGUGCCUGGUUUUGGCU